rnacentral:rRNA from 1 species
AUUGAACGCUGGCGGAAUACUUUACACAUGCAAGUCGAACGGCAGCACGGGGGCAACCCUGGUGGCGAGUGGCGAACGGGUGAGUAAUAUAUCGGAACGUACCUUUCAGUGGGGGAUAACGUAGCGAAAGUUACGCUAAUACCGCAUAUUCUGUGAGCAGGAAAGCAGGGGAUCGCAAGACCUUGCGCUGACUGAGCGGCCGAUAUCAGAUUAGCUAGUUGGUGAGGUAAAGGCUCACCAAGGCGACGAUCUGUAGCGGGUCUGAGAGGAUGAUCCGCCACACUGGAACUGAGACACGGUCCAGACUCCUACGGGAGGCAGCAGUGGGGAAUUUUGGACAAUGGGCGCAAGCCUGAUCCAGCCAUGCCGCGUGAGUGAAGAAGGCCUGGUGUAAG